rnacentral:rRNA from 1 species
GACGAACGCUGGCGGCGUGCUUAACACAUGCAAGUCGAACGAAGUGGCGAACGGGUGAGUAACGCGUAAUCAACCUGCCCUUCAGAGGGGGAUAACAGUUGGAAACGACUGCUAAUACCGCAUACUGAAGGAGGGGAUUGCGUCUGAUUAGCUAGUUGGAGGGGUAAUGGCCGACCAAGGCGAUGAUCAGUAGCCGGUGUGAAAGGAUGAACAGCAACAUAGGAACUGAGACACGGCCCAGACUCCUACGGGAGACAGCGGUGGGGAAUCUUCCGCAAUGGACGAAAGGCUGACGGAGCAACGCCGCGUGAGGGAUGACGGCGUUCAGGUUGUAAAGCUCUGUUAAUCGGGACGCGGGACCGGAAUAGAAAGCCACGGCUAACUACGUGCCAGCAGCCGCGGUAAUAC